GAGACUCCUUCGGGAGUCUAGUGGCGGACGGGUGAGUAACACGUAGGAAUCUACCCUCGAGUGGAGAAUAACCGGCCGAAAGGUUGGCUAAUACUGCAUAGUCUCUACGGAGUAAAGGGCUUAACUGCCCGCUUGAGGAGGAGCCUGCGUCCUAUCAGCUUGUUGGUGAGGUAAUGGCUCACCAAGGCGAUGACGGGUAGCUGGACUGAGAGGUCGAUCAGCCACAAGGGCACUGAGACACGGGCCCUACAUCUACGGAUGGCAGCAACCGGGAAUCUUCCGCAAUGGACGAAAGUCUGACGGAGCGACGCCGCGUGGAGGAUGACAGCCUUCGGGUUGUAAACUCCUUUUAUUGUACCCUUCACAGUACAUUGAAUAAGCCUUUACUAACUACGUGCCAGAAGUCUCGGUAAUACGUAGGAGGCAAGCGUUAUCCGGAUUAACUGGGCGUAAAGCGUGCGUAGGCGGUUUUGUAAGUCGUCUUUUAAAUCCUGUGGCUCAACCACAGUUUUGGAGUCGAUACUGCAUUACUUGAGGAUCGUUCGGGGUAUCGGAACAGUUGGUGUAGCGGUGAAAUGCGUUGAUAUCAACUGGAACACCGAAGGCGAAGGCAGAUACCUGGGAUUUUCCUGACGCUGAGGUACGAAAGCUAGGGUAGCGAAAGGGAUUAGAGACCCCUGUAGUCCUAGCCGUAAACGAUGGAUGCUAGCUUCGGGUGUAUGCCUGAGGCGUAAGCUAACGCGUUAAGCAUCCCGCCUGGGGAGUACGGCCGCAAGGCUAAAACUCAAAGGAAUUGACGGG
rnacentral:rRNA from 1 species